rnacentral:rRNA from 1 species
UACGGAGGUGACAAGCGUUGCUCGGAAUCACUGGGCGUAAAGGGCGCGUAGGCGGGGAGGUAAGUCGGGUGUGAAAUCCCUCGGCCCAACCGAGGAACUGCGCCCGAGACUGCUUCUCUUGAGUCCCGGAGAGGAAGAUGGAAUUCCCGGUGUAGCGGUGAAAUGUGUAGAGAUCGGGAGGAACACCGGUGGCGAAGGCGGUCUUCUGGACGGUGACUGACGCUGAGGCGCGAAAGCGUAGGGAGCAAACAGG